UGUAAGCGCAUACCAAAGUUGUUGCAGUUAAAACGCUCGUAGUCGGAAUUUGGCAGUUCCGGAAGUGUGCACGUCGUGUGCGCACUUUGCGGGGACUGCUUUUGUGGUCUUGCGUAGGAUGAGGCACUUUCAUUAGUGAACGUCCUCACGCAACCACUCUUUACUGUGAGAAAAUCAGAGUGCUCAAAGCAGGCAUUUGCCGUGAAUGUAUUAGCAUGGAAUAAUAGAAUAGGACUCGGUUCUAUUUUGUUGGUUUGUUGGGACUGAGUAAUGAUUAAGAGGGACAGUUGGGGGCAUUUGUAUUCCGGCGCUAGAGGUGAAAUUCUUAGAUUGCCGGAAGACAAACUGCUGCGAAAGCGUCUGCCAAGGAUGUUUUCAUUGA
rnacentral:rRNA from 1 species